GAGCAAUCUGUGUGACUGCGUACCUUUUGUAUAAUGGGUCAGCGACUUAUAUUCUGUAGCAAGGUUAACCGAAUAGGGGAGCCGAAGGGAAACCGAGUCUUAACUGGGCGUUAAGUUGCAGGGUAUAGACCCGAAACCCGGUGAUCUAGCCAUGGGCAGGUUGAAGGUUGGGUAACACUAACUGGAGGACCGAACCGACUAAUGUUGAAAAAUUAGCGGAUGACUUGUGGCUGGGGGUGAAAGGCCAAUCAAACCGGGAGAUAGCUGGUUCUCCCCGAAAGCUAUUUAGGUAGCGCCUCGUGAAUUCAUCUCCGGGGGUAGAGCACUGUUUCGGCAAGGGGGUCAUCCCGACUUACCAACCCGAUGCAAACUGCGAAUACCGGAGAAUGUUAUCACGGGAGACACACGGCGGGUGCUAACGUCCGUCGUGAAGAGGGAAACAACCCAGACCGCCAGCUAAGGUCCCAAAGUCAUGGUUAAGUGGGAAACGAU
rnacentral:rRNA from 1 species